rnacentral:rRNA from 1 species
AACGAACGCUGGCGGCAUGCCUAACACAUGCAAGUCGAACGAGACCUUCGGGUCUAGUGGCGCACGGGUUCGUAACGCGUGGGAACCUGCCCUUAGGUUCGGACUAACUCCCCGACAGGGGUGCUAAUACCGGAUAAUGUCUUCGGCCCAAAGAUUUAUCGCCUUUGGAUGGGCCCGCGUUGGAUUAGCUAGUUGGUAGGGUAAAAGCCUACCAAGGCGACGAUCCAUAGCUGGUCUGAGAGGAUGCUCAGCCACACUGGGACUGAGACACGGCCCAGACUCCUACGGGAGGCAGCAGUGGGGAAUAUUGGACAAGGGGCGAAAGCCUGAUCCAGCAAUGCCGCGUGAGUGAUGAAGGCCUUAGGGUUGUAAAGCUCGUUUACCCGGGAUGAUAAUGACAGUACCGGGAGAAUAAGCUCCGGCUAACUCCGUG